rnacentral:rRNA from 1 species
GAUGAACGCUGGCGGCGUGCCUAAUACAUGCAAGUCGAGCGAACAGACGAGGAGCUUGCUCCUCUGACGUUAGCGGCGGACGGGUGAGUAACACGUGGAUAACCUACCUAUAAGACUGGGAUAACUUCGGGAAACCGGAGCUAAUACCGGAUAAUAUAUUGAACCGCAUGGUUCAAUAGUGAAAGACGGUUUUGCUGUCACUUAUAGAUGGAUCCGCGCCGCAUUGGCUAGUUGGUAAGGUAACGGCUUACCAAGGCAACGAUGCGUAGCCGACCUGAGAGGCUGGUCGGCCACACUGGAACUGAGACACGGUCCAUGCUCCUGCGGGAGGCAGCAGUAGGGAAUCUUCCGCAAUGGGCGAAAGCCUGACGGAGCAACGCCGCGUGAGUGAUGAAGGUCUUCGGAUCGUAAAACUCUGUUAUUAGUGAAGAACAAAUGUGUAAGUAACUAUGCACGUCUUGACGGUACCUAAUCAGAAAGCCACGGCUAACUACGUG